rnacentral:rRNA from 1 species
AUUGAACGCUGGCGGCAGGCCUAACACAUGCAAGUCGAAUGGUAACAGGAAACAGCUUGCUGUUUCGCUGACGAGUGGCGGACGGGUGAGUAAUGUCUGGGAAACUGCCUGAUGGAGGGGGAUAACUACUGGAAACGGUAGCUAAUACCGCAUAACGUCGCAAGACUAAAGAGGGGGACCUUCGGGCCCCUUGCCAUCAGAUGUGCCCAGAUGGGAUUAGCUAGUAGGUGGGGUAACGGCUCACCUAGGCGACGAUCCCUAGCUGGUCUGAGAGGAUGACCGCCCCCCCGGGACGUGGGCCCCGGCCCAGACCCCACGGGGGGGCAGGUGUGGGAAAUUUUGCACAAGGGGCGAAAGCCUGAUGCACCCAUGCCGCGUGUAGGAAGAAGGCCUUCGGUUUGUAAAGUACUUUCAGCGGGGAGGAGGGGAGUAAAGUUAAUCCCUUUCCUCAUUGACUUCCCCCACAAAAGAAGCCCCGGCUACCCCCGU